rnacentral:misc_RNA from 1 species
AUGUUCCAUUUGCUUCUCCUGACCCAGCUGGUCAGCCUUUCUGGCAGCAAUCUUUUUGUAAUGAGCUUCAAAGUAGGCCUUUUUCUCAGCCACAGAUCCAGGUGUGGCACACUUCUCAACUUCCUCCAUGUACUUAUUCUUUGAGAAAGAUGACCAUUUCUCCCAAGACAAUGAAUCAUUCUCAAAUCUACCAAAUGAAACUGACACUUCAAGAGCACGAUCUGAAGCAGCUGUCUCCCCCAUCUUUUAGAAAUAAGAUUACUCCUUGUAAUGAGUCAAGAAUCC